rnacentral:rRNA from 19 species
ACAACUUUCAGCAACGGAUCUCUUGGCUCUCGCAUCGAUGAAGAACGCAGCGAAAUGCGAUAAGUAAUGUGAAUUGCAGAAUUCAGUGAAUCAUCGAAUCUUUGAACGCACCUUGCGCUCCUUGGUAUUCCGAGGAGCAUGCCUGUUUGAGUGUCAU